GACGAACGCUGGCGGCGUGCUUAACACAUGCAAGUCGAACGAAGAGCGAUGGAAGCUUGCUUCUAUCAAUCUUAGUGGCGAACGGGUGAGUAACGCGUAAUCAACCUGCCCUUCAGAGGGGGACAACAGUUGGAAACGACUGCUAAUACCGCAUACGAUCUAAACUCGGCAUCGAGGAUAGAUGAAAGGUGGCCUCUACAUGUAAGCUAUCACUGAAGGAGGGGAUUGCGUCUGAUUAGCUAGUUGGAGGGGUAACGGCCCACCAAGGCGAUGAUCAGUAGCCGGCCGGAGAGGAUGAACGGCCACAUUGGGACUGAGACACGGCCCAGACUCCUACGGGAGGCAGCAGUGGGGAAUCUUCCGCAAUGGACGAAAGUCUGACGGAGCAACGCCGCGUGAGUGAGGACGGCCUUCGGGUUGUAAAGCUCUGUUAAUCGGGACGAAAGGCCUUCUUGCGAAUAGUGAGAAGGAUUGACGGUACCGGAAUAGAAAGCCACGGCUAACUACGUG
rnacentral:rRNA from 1 species